ACAUUCAUGGUCGAUUAAAUGGUUAGCACGUCCGCCUAGGAUGCGGGAGGUCGCGGGUUCCAUGCCCGGCCGAGUCGUA